UACAGAGGGUGCGAGCGUUGUCCGGAAUCACUGGGCAUAAAGGGCGCGUAGGCGGGUUUCCAAGUCGGUUGUGAAAUCCCUCAGCUCAACUGAGGAACUGCAUCCGAUACUGUUUGUCUUGAGGACGGGAGGGGAGAGUGGAACUUCUGGUGAAGCGGUGAAAUGCGUAGAUAUCAGAAGGAACGCCGGUGGCGAAAGCGACUCUCUGGCCCGUAUCUGACGCUGAAGCGCGAAAGCGUGGGUAGCAAACGGG
rnacentral:rRNA from 1 species